AUUGACCGCUAGCGGGAUGCUUUACAAAUGCAAGUCGAACGAGUGGCGGACGGGUGAGUAAUAUAUCGGAAUGUGCCCAGUAGCGGGGGAUAAAUCCUAGAAAGAGUGGCUAAUACCGCAUACUAAUGGAACGGCCGAUAUGGGAUUAGCUAGUUGGGGGGGUAAAGUAUCACCAGGGCACCGAUCCGUAGCUGGUUUGAGAGGACGACCAUCCACACUGGGACGGAGACACGGACCAGACUCCUACGGGAGGCAUCAGGGGGGAAUUUUGGACAAUGGGGGAAACCCUGAUCCAGCCAUCCCGCGUGUAUGAGAAGGCCUUCGGGUUGUAAAGUAUUUUUGGCAGAGAAGCGGUAUCUGCAGAAUAAGCACCGGCUAACUACGUGCCAGCAGCCGCGGUAAUAC
rnacentral:rRNA from 1 species